GAGUUUGAUCAUGGCUCAGAAUCAACGCUGGCGGCGUGCCUAACACAUGCAAGUCGAACGAGAAAGUGGAGCAAUCCAUGAGUAAAGUGGGCGACCGGGUGAGUAACACGUGACUAACCUACCCUCGAGUGGGGAAUAACGCCGGGAAACCGGCGCUAAUACCGCAUAACAUCGCAAGAUCAAAGCAGCAAUGCGCUUGAGGAGGGGGUCGCGGCCGAUUAGUUAGUUGGUAGGGUAAUGGCCUACCAAGACGAAGAUCGGUAGCCGGCCUGAGAGGGCGCACGGCCACACUGGAACUGAAACACGGUCCAGACUCCUACGGGAGGCAGCAGUGGGGAAUUUUGCGCAAUGGGGGGAAACCCUGACGCAGCAACGCCGCGUGGAGGAUGAAGUCCCUUGGGACGUAAACUCCUUUCGACCGGGACGAUAAUGACGGUACCGGUGGAAGAAGCCCCGGCUAACUUCGUGCCAGCAGCCGCAGUAAC
rnacentral:rRNA from 1 species